GAUGAACGCUGGCGGCGUGCCUAAUACAUGCAAGUCGAGCGAACAGACGAGGAGCUUGCUCCUCUGAUGUUAGCGGCGGACGGGUGAGUAACACGUGGAUAACCUACCUAUAAGACUGGGAUAACUUCGGGAAACCGGAGCUAAUACCGGAUAACAUGUUGAACCGCAUGGUUCAACAGUGAAAGACGGUCUUGCUGUCACUUAUAGAUGGAUCCGCGCCGCAUUAGCUAGUUGGUAAGGUAACGGCUUACCAAGGCAACGAUGCGUAGCCGACCUGAGAGGGUGAUCGGCAACACUGGAACUGAGACACGGUCCAGACUCCUACGGGAGGCAGCAGUAGGGAAUCGUCCGCAAUGGGCGAAAGCCUGACGGAGCAACGCCGCGUGAGUGAAGAAGGUCUUCGGAUCGUAAAACUCUGUUAUUAGGGAAGAACAAAUGUGUAAGUAACUAUGCACGUCUUGACGGUACCUAAUCAGAAAGCCACGGCUAACUACGUG
rnacentral:rRNA from 1 species